AUCAUGUGCAGACAUUGCAUGAACCGAUUGGCGUGGCGGGUCAGAUCAUUCCAUGGAACUUCCCUCUGCUUAUGUUUGCUUGGAAGGUUGGUCCAGCGUUAGCAUGUGGGAAUACUAUUGUUCUGAAGACAGCUGAGCAGACACCUUUGUCUGCUCUCUUUGUGGCUAAGCUAUUGCAUGAGGCUGGACUUCCUGAGGGCGUUCUGAAUAUUGUUUCGGGUUAUGGACCCACUGUUGGUGCUGCUAUUGCCAGUCAUAUGGAAGUUGAUAAGCUUGCUUUUACCGGAUCAACUGAAACAGG
rnacentral:misc_RNA from 1 species